rnacentral:rRNA from 1 species
CCUACGGGAGGCAGCAGUGAGGAAUUUUCCGCAAUGGGCGAAAGCCUGACGGAGCAAUGCCGCGUGAAGGAUGAAGGCCUAUGGGUUGUAAACUUCUUUUCUCAGAGAAGAAAUUUUGACGGUAUCUGAGGAAUAAGCAUCGGCUAACUCUGUGCCAGCAGCCGCGGUAAGACAGAGGAUGCAAGCGUUAUCCGGAAUGAUUGGGCGUAAAGUGUCUGUAGGUGGCUUAAAAAGUCUCCUGUCAAAGAUCAGGGCUUAACCCUGGGCCGGCAGGAGAAACUCUUAGGCUAGAGUUUGGUAGGGGCAGAGGGAAUUCCCGGUGGAGCGGUGAAAUGCGUAGAGAUCGGGAGGAACACCAAAGGCGAAAGCACUCUGCUGGGCCACAACUGACACUCAGAGACGAAAGCGAGGGGAGCAAAAGGGAUUAGAUACCCCUGUAGUCCUCGCCGUAAACGAUGGAUACCUAGAUGUUAGGGUAGUAGGUUAAAGUACUAUUACUAGUAUACGUAGUACGUACGUACGUAGUAAGUAGUACCGUCCGUCGGGUAGGUAGUGCGUCGCGAGAGUAGUAAACGUACGUAAAGUUAAAGUUAGUACGGUUACGUUGAGACGNGCCGACGGACGACGACGAGGGAGGAGG